rnacentral:rRNA from 1 species
UACAACGAGAAGCGAACCUGCGAAGGCAAGCGGAUCUCUUAAAGCCGUUCUCAGUUCGGACUGUAGGCUGCAACUCGCCUACACGAAGCUGGAAUCGCUAGUAAUCGCGGAUCAGCACGCCGCGGUGAAUACGUUCCCGGGCCUUGUACACACCGCCCGUCACACCAUGAGAGUCGGGAACACCCGAAGUCCGUAGUCUAACCGCAAGGAGGGCGCGGCCGAAGGUGGGUUCGAUAAUUGGGUGAAGUCGUAACAAGGUAGC